GGAGGGCAAGUCUGGUGCCAGCAGCCGCGGUAAUUCCAGCUCCAAUAGCGUAUAUUAAAGUUGUUGCAGUUAAAAAGCUCGUAGUUGAAUUUCGGGGUUCUACCGUUGGUCGGGCUUUGUCUGUACUGGUGUGUAGAAUUUCUACCUUCUGGGGAACCAUCAUGCUAUUAAUUUAGCGUGGUGGGAAACCAGGACCUUUACCUUGAAAAAAUUAGUGUGUUCAAAGCAGGCUUAUGUCUGAAUACAUUAGCGUGGAAUAAUAGAAUAGGACGGUGGUCCUGUUUUGUUGGUUUCUGAAUCACCGUAAUGAUUAAUAGGGAUAGUUGGGGGCAUUAGUAUUCAAUUGUCAGAGGUGAAAUUCUUGGAUUUAUUGAAGACUAACUUCUGCGAAAGCAUUUGCCAAGGAUGUUUUCAUUAAUCAAGAACGAAAGUUAGGGGAUCGAAGACGAUCAGAUACCGUCGUAGUCUUAACCAUAAACUAUGCCGGCUAGGGAUCGGACGAUGUUAAUUUUUCUUGACUCGUUCGGCGCCUUACGGGAAAC
rnacentral:rRNA from 1 species